rnacentral:rRNA from 1 species
GACGAACGCUGGCGGCGUGCUUAACACAUGCAAGUCGAACGGAAAGGCCCUGCUUUUGUGGGGUGCUCGAGUGGCGAACGGGUGAGUAACACGUGAGUAACCUGCCCUUGACUUUGGGAUAACUUCAGGAAACUGGGGCUAAUACCGGAUAGGAGCUCCUGCUGCAUGGUGGGGGUUGGAAAGUUUCGGCGGUUGUGGAUGGACUCGCGGCUUAUCAGCUUGUUGGGGGGGUAGUGGCUUACCAAGGCUUUGACGGGUAGCCGGCCUGAGAGGGUGACCGGCCACAUUGGGACUGCGAUACGGCCCAGACUCCUACGGGAGGCAGCAGUGGGGAAUAUUGCACAGUGGGCGGACGCCUGAUGCAGCAGCGCCGCGUGCGGGAUGACGGCCUUCGGGUUGUAAACCGCUUUCGCCUGUGACGAAGCGUGAGUGACGGUAAUGGGUAAAGAAGCACCGGCUAACUACGUG